UACGUAGGGGGCUAGCGUUGUCCGGAAUCAUUGGGCGUAAAGCGCGUGUAGGCGGUCCGGUAAGUCCGCUGUGAAAGUCGAGGGCUCAACCUCGAAUGCCGGUGGAUACUGUCGGGCUAGAGUACGGAAGAGGCGAGUGGAAUUCCAGGUGUAGCGGUGAAAUGCGUAGAUAUCUGGAGGAACACCGGUGGCGAAGGCGGCAUCCUGGACCGGUAUUGACACUGAGGCGCGAAAGCCAGGGGAGCAAACGGG
rnacentral:rRNA from 1 species